rnacentral:rRNA from 1 species
UACAGAGGGUGCGAGCGUUGUCCGGAAUUACUGGGCGUAAAGCGUGCGCAGGCGGUUGGUUAAGUCUGAUGUGAAAGCCCCGGGCUCAACCUGGGAAUGGCAUUGGAAACUGGCUGGCUAGAGUGUGGCAGAGGGGGGUGGAAUUCCGCGUGUAGCAGUGAAAUGCGUAGAGAUGCGGAGGAACACCGAUGGCGAAGGCAGCCCCCUGGGCUAGCACUGACGCUCAGGCACGAAAGCGUGGGGAGCAAACAGG